GGAGAGGUGUCAGAGUGGUCUAUCGUCCGACUUUGCUAAAGUCGGAGGGGUCUUAAAGCCCCUCGCGAGUUCGAAUCUCGCCCUCUCCG
rnacentral:tRNA from 1 species